rnacentral:lncRNA from 1 species
CCAGUACACAGUCAAUGCACACACACAGAUAUAUAUGUGUGUAUGUACAUGUGUGUACUCUUCCCUGUGUGUGUGUGUGUGUGUGGUCAGAAGCAGGAGCCCUGUGAAGACUGCGCGCAUGGCCUGCCUGGCGUGCCUGGCCGUUCGGGCACCAAGGGCGACAAGGGUGAGCAGGGUGAGCAGGGCAAACCGGGCAUCACGGAGGCCGACGACUGUGAGCGGUGCUACCAGAGGCUUCAGGGGGAAGAGCCUGCUCAGGAAGUAUCAAAUCCCACGACAACAGGAACUGUUAAUACGGGCUGUGCAGGUGGAGCGGGCUCACCAGGUCUCCCAGGACAUCCAGGUGAACAGGGUCCUGCAGGCCAGAGAGGGUUCGCUGGUCCUCCGGGUGCGAUCGUAAGUGUGUGUGUGUGUGUGUGUGUGUGUGUGUGUGUGUGUGUGUGUGUGUGUGUGUGUGUGUGUGUGCCGCUCAGAGAGCUGGGACUCAUACUGGGCUCAGAUGCUCCUCUUCUCUUGCUUUUAGCUUUGUGGGGUUUUAAUUGGACUCUCUGAAGUGGCCUUUUUGUCUUUUAAUUUGCCGUAUGGCAUUACUGUGAGAGGUAGGUAUUUAGUCGCAGAUGCGUGUGUGUGUGUGUGUGUGUGUGUGUGUGUAUGUGUGUAUGCAUGUGUAUGUGUGUGUGUGCGUGCGUGUGU